AAAGUCAGACUUGCUCACUGCUUUCAAUCGCCAUGACUUGAAAAACCAAGCCAAUGACUCUUUUCUUUGUUUAUUUUUAUUUAUAUGAUUUUUAGUUGAAUGGAA
rnacentral:ribozyme from 14 species